ACGAAAAUGUUUGGUUGGGUAACUUCGUCUGCUCCCAAGUUACACAGUCAAGUUACUUCAAACAUUCAAACAAAAUAAAUUGAGAUUCGGAUUUUAAGAAAAUUUCAGCUGAAGUUUUUGUGUGACACAGGUGCUUGUGACAACAGAGAGCAAAUGGUACAAUCCAGUAAUGAAAGCUUUGUCUUCCAAAGGUUAACUUUUUGCUGUCAAAUUGUAGUAAAUCGGGUAAAUCUCCAAGAUAUUGCUGCCUUCCCCAGAUCCAAUUUUUUGCUGUUAUCUAUUUGGACAAUUGGAAGACAAUGCUACCACUGAAGAGGUUGUGGUGACCACCAUUUGAGUUCUAAUUUAUGACAACGUGUAUCCCUUUCCUCUGCUAUAUUGGUUGGAAACCAACAAGGGAUUUCUGGAAUUGAAGAUUGAUAAUUUGUGAAGAUGUACAUCAAUUUCAAGUGCAUAUCUGGGCUCCCUUCUUUUCUGUGGCCCAUUUCCCGGACUGUUUAAUGAAUUAUUUUAUAUAAAUUUUACUGCUUACUUAGUUAUUUGUGUGUAUUUAUGUUAAAAUAAUAAAUGGUAAAAUAACAGA